ACCAUAAAUGUAAUUCAUGUUUCGGCCAUGAAAUUGAUUAAAUUUAGUCUUAUGGUU
rnacentral:tRNA from 1 species